UGUUGUGUGAGGAGUGAAGAGCAUCUCUUCAGGGUCGAAACAAGGACAGACUCCUGGAUGUGUUCCGCUU
rnacentral:ncRNA from 2 species